UGCAGUCGAACGUGAAAGCACUUCGGUGUGAGUAGAGUGGCGGACGGGUGAGUAACGCGUGGGAAUCUGCCCAGUAGUGGGGGACAACUACCGGAAACGGUAGCUAAUACCGCAUACGCCCUAUGGGGGAAAGGCUUCGGCCGCUAUUGGAUGAGCCCGCGUCAGAUUAGCUAGUUGGUAGGGUAAAGGCCUACCAAGGCAACGAUCUGUAGCUGGUCUGAGAGGACGAACAGCCACACUGGGACUGAGACACGGCCCAGACUCCUACGGGAGGCAGCAGUGGGGAAUAUUGGACAAUGGGCGAAAGCCUGAUCCAGCAAUGCCGCGUGUGUGAAGAAGGCCUGCGGGUUGUAAAGCACUUUCAGUUGGGAAGAUGAUGACGUUACCAACAGAAGAAGCACCGGCUAAAUCCGUGCCAGCAGCCGCGGUAAUACGGAUGGUGCGAGCGUUAAUCGGAAUUACUGGGCGUAAAGCGCGCGUAGGCGGCUAAGUCAGUCAGAAGUGAAAGCCCCGGGCUCAACCUGGGAAUUGCUUUUGAUACUGCUUGGCUAGAGUUUGGUAGAGGAUAGUGGAAUUCCAGGUGUAGCGGUGAAAUGCGUAGAUAUCUGGAGGAACAUCAGUGGCGAAGGCGACUGUCUGGACCAAAACUGACGCUGAGGUGCGAAAGCGUGGGUAGCAAACAGGAUUAGAUACCCUGGUAGUCCACGCCGUAAACGAUGUCAACUAGCCGUCGGGUCUAUUUACAGACUUGGUGGCGCAGCUAACGCGAUAAGUUGACCGCCUGGGGAGUACGGCCGCAAGGUUAAAACUCAAAGGAAUUGACGGGGGCCCGCACAAGCGGUGGA
rnacentral:rRNA from 1 species